UUUUCAGGUUUUCCAGCGGCGGCGCGUGAACCCACGCGCCGCCGGUAGCGGUGGCGCGUGGAAGGAUGCGCCGCCACUGUUCCCGCGCCCAGAAAUCCUGCUGAACACUGUUCUGGCUUGCAGAAUUGUUCCCUGAAAAUUCCAGAUUGUUUUGGUGUUGUUAUUGUAAUUUUAAUGUAUUUUUUGUUUAUUUGUUUUGAAUUUUUAUUUUGUAUUGUGGAUGUAAAAAAAAAGAGAAAGAAAAGAAAAGAAAAGAAAAAAAUAUAGUAAAGAAAUGUGUGUGUGUUUGUAUUUUUUAUGUAUCUUAUUGAAUCAAAAGGAAAAAAAUGAAUUUAAUAUUUUAAUUUA
rnacentral:lncRNA from 1 species